rnacentral:misc_RNA from 1 species
GAAGAAGAAACUAUUCUGCAUUUGUGUGUUAGGUAUAAUCAUUUGGAUGCUCUUAAAUUGUUGGUGACUUCCUUGCAUGGUGAUGAGGAGCUCCAGCUCCUUAAUUCUGCAGACCAGGAAGGCAACACUAUCUUGCAUUUGGCUGCAUCAAUGAAGCAAGUUGAGGUAUGUUCACCUUGUAGAUAACUUGAGAAGGAAAAUGAAUAGAAGAAAACCCAAA